rnacentral:rRNA from 1 species
ACGAACGCUGGUGGUAUGCUUAACACAUGCAAGUCGAACGGGUAUAGCAAUAUAUCAGUGGCAAACGGGUGAGGAAUAUAUAGGAAUCUACCUAGCAGUAAGGAAUAACUUUGGGAAACCAAAGCUAAUGCCAUAUAUUACCGAUUUAUCGGGAAAGAUUUAUCGCUGUUAGAUGAGCCUGUAUCGGAUUAGCUAGUUGGUAGGGUAAUGGCCUACCAAGGCAAUGAUCCGUAGCUGGUCUGAGAGGAUGAUCAGCCACAUUGGGACUGCGACACGGCCCAAACUCCUACGGGAGGCAGCAGUGGGGAAUAUUGGACAAUGGACGCAAGUCUGAUCCAGCAAUACCACGUGAGUGAUGAAGGCCUUCGGGUUGUAAAACUCUUUUAGUAGGGAAGAUAAUGACGGUACCUACAGAAAAAGCACCGGCUAACUUCGU